rnacentral:rRNA from 1 species
AGAGUUUGAUCCUGGCUCAGGAUGAACGCUAGCUACAGGCUUAACACAUGCAAGUCGAGGGGCAGCAUGUUGGUUGCUUGCAACCAACGAUGGCGACCGGCGCACGGGUGAGUAACGCGUAUCCAACCUACCCUUGUCCAUCGGAUAACCCGUCGAAAGGCGGCCUAACACGAUAUGCGGUUCACAGCAGGCAUCUAACGUGAACGAAAUGUAAAGGAGAAGGAUGGGGAUGCGUCUGAUUAGCUUGUUGGCGGGGUAACGGCCGACCAAGGCGACGAUCAGUAGGGGUUCUGAGAGGAAGGUCCCCCANACUUGGAACUGAGACACGGUCCAAACGUCCUACGGGAGCGA